AGCAGUCGCCGCGGGAAUACGGAGGGUGCAAGCGUUAAUCGGAAUUACUGGGCGUAAAGCGCACGCAGGCGGUCUGUCAAGUCAGAUGUGAAAUCCCCGGGCUUAACCUGGGAACUGCAUUUGAAACUGGCAGGCUAGAGUCUUGUAGAGGGGGAUGGAAUUCCGCGUGUAGCAGUGAAAUGCGUAGAUAUGCGGAGGAACACCGAUGGCGAAGGCAAUCCCCUGGGCCUGUACUGACGCUCAUGCACGAAAGCGUGGGGAGCAAACAGGAUUAGAUACCCGUGUAGUCCCUGUCUCUUAUAC
rnacentral:rRNA from 1 species